rnacentral:rRNA from 1 species
AGGCAGCAGUAGGGAAUAUUGGUCAAUGGAUGCAAGUCUGAACCAGCCAUGCCGCGUGCAGGAAGAAGGCCUUCUGGGUUGUAAACUGCUUUUGCCGGGGGAUAAAAUUUCCAUGCGUGGGAAAUUGAAGGUACCYGGUGAAUAAGCCACGGCUAACUACGUGCCAGCAGCCGCGGUAAUACGUAGGUGGCAAGCGUUGUCCGGAUUUAUUGGGUUUAAAGGGUGCGUAGGCGGCCUAWUAAGUCAGUUCUGAAAUAUCCCGGCUUAACCGGGAGGGUGGSAUUGAUACUGAUGGGCUUGAGUGGAGUCGAGGUAGGCGGAAUUGACGGUGUAGCGGUGAAAUGCUUAGAUAUCGUCAAGAACACCGAUAGUGUAGACAGCUUACUAGACUUCAACUGACGCUGAGGCACGAAAGUGUGGGGAUCAAACAGGAUUAGAUA